UACGUAGGGCGCAAGCGUUAUCCGGAAUUAUUGGGCGUAAAGAGCUCGUAGGCGGUCUGUCGCGUCGGCUGUGAAAACCCGGAGCUCAACUCCGGGCCUGCAGUCGAUACGGGCAAACUGGAGUGUUGCAGGGGAGACUGGAAUUCCUGGUGUAGCGGUGAAAUGCGCAGAUAUCAGGAGGAACACCGGUGGCGAAGGCGGGUCUCUGGGCAACAACUGACGCUGAGGAGCGAAAGCGUGGGGAGCGAACAGG
rnacentral:rRNA from 1 species